rnacentral:rRNA from 1 species
AGAGUUUGAUCCUGGCUCAGGACGAACGCUGGCGGCGUGCCUAACACAUGCAAGUCGAACGGGGCGAAGGGAGCUUGCUCCUGGAGCCUAGUGGCGGACGGGUGAGUAACGCGUGAGUAACCUGCCUUUCAGAGGGGGAUAACAUUCUGAAAAGGAUGCUAAUACCGCAUAAAGUCAGAGUGUCGCAUGGCGCACUGACCAAAGGAGCAAUCCGCUGAAAGAUGGACUCGCGUCCGAUUAGCUAGUUGGCGGGGUAAAGGCCCACCAAGGCGACGAUCGGUAGCCGGACUGAGAGGUUGAACGGCCACAUUGGGACUGAGACACGGCCCAGACUCCUACGGGAGGCAGCAGUGGGGGAUAUUGCACAAUGGGGGAAACCCUGAUGCAGCAACGCCGCGUGAGUGACGAAGGUCUUCGGAUUGUAAAACUCUGUUCUUGGUGAAGAUAAUGGCGGUAGCCAAGGAGAAAGCUCCGGCUAACUACGUG